CAGCAGCCACGGGAAUACGUAGGGGGCAAGCGUUAUCCGGAAUUACUGGGUGUAAAGGGAGCGUAGACGGUUAGACAAGUCUGAAGUGAAAUGCCGGGGCUCAACCCCGGAGCUGCUUUGGGAACUGUAGAACUGGAGUGUCGGAGGGGUAAGCGGAAUUCCCAGUGUAGCGGUGAAAUGCGUAGAUAUUGGGAGGAACACCAGUGGCGAAGGCGGCUCACUGGUCCAUUACUGACGCUGAGGUGCGAAAGCGUGGGGAGCAAACAGGAUUAGAUACCCCCGUAGUCCCUGUCUCUUAUAC
rnacentral:rRNA from 1 species